rnacentral:rRNA from 1 species
UACAGAGGGGGCAAGCGUUGUUCGGAAUUACUGGGCGUAAAGGGCUCGUAGGCGGCCAACUAAGUCGGAUGUGAAAUCCCCAGGCUUAACCUGGGAACUGCAUCCGAUACUGGAUGGCUUGAAUCCGGGAGAGGGAUGCAGAAUUCCAGGUGUAGCGGUGAAAUGCGUAGAUAUCAGGAGGAACACCGAUGGCGAAGGCAGGUCUCUGGGCCACUACUGACGCUGAGAAGCGAAAGCAUGGGGAGCGAACAGG